rnacentral:ncRNA from 1 species
GUGGUGCUUCCAAUAGGAAGUUAAAAGGGAAUGUGGUGCAAAUCCACGACAGCCCCCGCUACUGUGAUUGGGAUGAAAGCUGUUAUAGGCCAUUGAAUAAAUAUUAAGUGUUUAACCAUCUGCCGAAAUCAUAUGAUUACGGUUAAGCAUAAGAUAUCUAUUUGAGAAGGCGACAGUGAGUAAAAUGACCAAGAGCCAGGAAACCUGCCAUUUGAUUCA